rnacentral:lncRNA from 1 species
GAAUUCUGUAUAGAAAAAAAAAACCCACCUGGAUCCCAGUCUUUCAAUGGCUUCAAGACAACCAGAAGUGCCGCCUGAAAGGUCAGUCUGACUCCUGGACUCUCAGAAGAAUGCACUGCAGGUCUAUCGUGAAGAGUCAGCACUUCGUUUGUUUUUCCUGAGACAGAGUUUCUCUGUGUGCUUCUGGCUGUCCUGAAACUCUGUAUAUAGAUCAGGCUGGUCUUUAAUUCACAGAGAUCUUCCUGCCUCUACUUCCCAAAUGCUGCCUUUAAGGACGUGAGCCACCACACCCGGCUUUAAAAAAUUGCAAAUAAAGUUAAAAGUUGCUGCUAAAUCUGCAUGUACUGCUC